rnacentral:lncRNA from 1 species
CCCCCACCCCACCACACCUUUCCUCUACGGAGCUGUUCCCUCAAAAUGGAAAUUCACCGGAGAGAGAAGAAAGAGCAGUGCAAACUGGCUGCGUUGUGAAUCCCAGCGGCUGCCGUGGCUCGCAUCUCCCGUGAGCCUACUCUGUGCCAGCAGCCUGCCAGGCGCUACAGACCAUGCACGGCCCUUCCCAGAAGAGAGUGGUGAGGCUGACCUUGGCACACGGCUAGGCGUCCCUUCUUAAGGAAAUUCUUGGAGAGGGAGGAAAAAUACUAGCGGACCCACCGUCAGGCUGCCUCUAAAGGACAGAGCUACAGGACAGCUACCGUGGGGACAAAGUCUCUCUAGAGGCGGGCUCUGGCUUCCCAGCGCAGCGCACAGACCCAGGAGAUGUACACGCCAACAACGCAUGUCCCCACUGUUCUGGAGGCUGAAAGUCCCAGAUCAAGGUGUCAGCAGGUUUGGUUCCUUUGAGGCCUCUCUCCUUGGCCCACAGAUGGCUGCCUUCUCCUUGGGUUCUCUCAAGGUCCACCCCCUUAGGCUGUUGUCGCAUUAAACACCUCGCCUGCCGGUGUGGCCCAUAUCUAAGCGCCCUCAUUCACAAAUAUUAGUGUGAAGCUCCUUCUCAGCCACUUCAGAUGGGAUCCAUAAACUCAUUUCCAGUGAUCCAGCACCGGUAAAACCAAAUGUGGGAGUUGGGGAGGGGGAGCCAAACCCUUCUCUGACAUCAGGAUAACUCCUCUGGUGCAAAGAGAGUGAGCUACAAGUAUAGACAGGAGACUUAAAGUCCCUGGUAUCAUUGUCAGGGGAAGUGAAGGGGAAAAAAUGAAAGCAAAAGCCGAGGUGCUGGAGCUGGCUGGGCCCCAAAAACCUCACCUUGGACUACACCAGCUCACUGCACAUUUUUCCUUCAUUGUCCAAGUCUCCCUGAUAAGCAUUAAUGAGAGCUAGAGGUGGAUUUUCUUCAGGAAGCAUUUCACCAAAAUAAAACUACUUUUUGCUUCUUGCUGAACUUCUGG